UCUCAAGGGAAAAAUGCUCAAAACACUGCCGUACUGCUUAAAUCAGCGAAACAUUUCCCACAGCUCCCCGUCGCCAUUUCUGCUUUGGUUGCGUGGUGCUUGCAAACACAACAAAAUAGUGAUGAUGAACAGCUCGGUACCUGUCUGGGAUGCUCAGUUUGCCGCUUUCUUCAAAAUCCGACAAUGCUUAAUAUAUUCCAAGGGCGCAGGACAGAUGAAGAUCAUAAAGACGCGAAAGCGAAGAAGAAAGAAGCCAGCCCAGCCUACAGGCUCACAGCUGGAAGGCGCUUCUGCUCUGCCCUGGGCCUUUCUUGGAGGAGUCAGUGAUAACUUGCAGUAACUCAUGUUCCUGAUUCCAUAAGGCAUUUUCUUGGCACUUGCUAGUGCAACACAAUAAACCAUGGGAAUAUUAGUGGAGUUCCUCCUUCUGUUGGUACGCCAAGGGGGACUGGAGCUCCACCACACUGUAAUUUGCCAUGUCAUGGAUGUUAAUGUCAUUACAUCCUGAAGUUGAUGAAGCCAUUUGUGCUGUCUUAAUUAUAAAGGGCUAUGUCACUGUUAAUGUAAUCUAAUCUCAGUGGACAGCACUCAUCUUCAACCCAGUGUUAUGAUUAUAUUGAACCGCUGUAGUUUAAAGAGUAUACUUGGAUAACUGAAUAAGAAUAGAAAAUAUAGAUAAAAGGAGUAGUAACUACUUAAAUGUGCACAAUCAUUGAUCAUCACAACCAAAAUAAAAUGUAUUUAGCCUAGAUAAGUUCAUGGAAUGUAUUGUAUUACUCAUGCAUUUCACUAUAGAGCAUAAAAAGCCUUAAUUCAGAAAGUGCUGACAGUUUCAGUUUGCAAUGCAUUACAGUACAUGUAAUAUAGAUGUGAAUACAAUGUGCAUUUAUCAUUUAUUAAUUCAUGGAAUAGAAUCUGUGCAAUGCUCUGCUAUAUUGUUUGCAAUGCAAUUAUUGAUUCAAACCUUAGAUUUGUAGGUUUCAUAUCAUCUUUUCAUUUCACGAGUGUUUUAUGGACUCCGCUAUGUGAUUUCAUUCUAAAAGAGAAUGAGUUUCAUGAAAAGAAAUGUUGGGUCAGGGUUAUUAUUCAAGGCUCAGAGUGAGUAUGAACCUUAAAACAAUUGUCUUCUUUUACAUAGUUAUAUUGGGUAGAAUUUGGGUGUUUUACUUAAGUUUAAACAGGCAUUGGGACUGUUUGACAUCAGUCUGAUAAACUGUGAUGACCUAACUGAUGAUGUGUGUGUUUUAAUGUCCACUUAACUCAGUUAAAAGAACAAAUUGCAUGUUUGUAUACUCUAGAAUGCAAAUGUCAAUUAGUUAAACUAGAUUUUUUUAAAAAUGUAUCAUCAUUUGACUAUAAGAUG
ensembl:lncRNA